rnacentral:misc_RNA from 1 species
AGUCUUACAAAGGAUUGCAGACUGCUUGGGAAAUUUGAUCUGACUGGAAUUCCUCCAGCUCCAAGAGGAACCCCUCAAAUUGAGGUUACGUUUGAAGUUGAUGCCAAUGGCAUCGUCAAUGUGAAGGCCGAAGACAAAGGCACAGGUAAAUCAGAUAAGAUCAAAUUUCCCAAGCAGUCUGCAAUCCUUUGUAAGACUCCUUUCACCCUCAAAGACCUGAAUGGAGACAGUAGUCUGCUGAUCCUGGUAAGUUGUAAAAACUUGAGAUUUCUUGGUUGGGAUAAC